UCUCUUGGGCUAAUUUCUCUAAGCCACCGGUCCAUUGCCAUCUUCUACCCCAUAUUCUGAGAGCCAGCAGAUGGGGAUUCGUGAAAUCGUUGGGUCAAGAAGUUCUUACCUGACUGCACAGCUCUAGGUUCUCAGAAUACACAGCGAUCUGUUGUCUGGACUGCUGCUCCUCUGACAGGUAACUGGCCAGGAGGAUGAGGACAUCAAAACCAAACUUUUCUGUGAAUGCUUUCAAAUCACUGGUGAUAUUGCUGUGAAAUGUACAGUUCUGAAACAACAGGCAAUUUGAUAUUAACAUCAAGCUGCUCGGCUCUGGUGAAUCAUGCCACAAAUUUGUCCAGUCUUAAGAUGUAUUACCAAUGAUACUUAUUAUUAGAUACAAAUGAAAUAA
rnacentral:lncRNA from 1 species